CCUACGGGUGGCAGCAGUGGGGAAUAUUGGACAAUGGGCGAAAGCCUGAUCCAGCAAUGCCGCGUGAGUGAAGAAGGCCUUCGGGUUGUAAAGCUCUUUUACCCGGGAAGAUAAUGACUGUACCGGGAGAAUAAGCCCCGGCUAACUCCGUGCCAGCAGCCGCGGUAAUACGGAGGGGGCUAGCGUUGUUCGGAAUUACUGGGCGUAAAGCGCGCGUAGGCGGCUUUGCAAGUUAGAGGUGAAAGCCCGGGGCUCAACCCCGGAAUAGCCUUUAAGACUGCAUCGCUUGAACACGGGAGAGGUGAGUGGAAUUCCGAGUGUAGAGGUGAAAUUCGUAGAUAUUCGGAAGAACACCAGUGGCGAAGGCGGCUCACUGGACCGUUGUUGACGCUGAGGUGCGAAAGCGUGGGGAGCAAACAGGAUUAGAUACCCCAGUAGUC
rnacentral:rRNA from 1 species